rnacentral:rRNA from 1 species
CCUACGGGUGGCAGCAGUGGGGGAUAUUGCACAAUGGGGGGAACCCUGAUGCAGCGACGCCGCGUGGGUGAAGGAGUGCUUCGGCAUGUAAAGCCCUAUCGGCAGGGAAGAAGCAAGACGGUACCUGACUAAGAAGCCCCGGCCAACUACGUGCCAGCAGCCGCGGUAAUACGGAGGGGGCGAGCGUUAUCCGGAUUCACUGGGGGUAAAGGGAGCGUAGACGGCCAUGCAAGCUAGGGGUGAAAUCCCGGGGUCCAACCCCGGGAGUGCCCUUGAAACUGCAUGGCUUGAGUGCGGGAGGGGCAGGCGGAAUUCGUGGUGUAGCGGUGAAAUGCGUAGAUAUCAGGAGGAACGCCGGCGGCGAAGGCGGCCUGCUGGACUGCGACUGACGUUGAGGCUCGAAAGCGUGGGGAGCGAACAGGAUUAGAUACCCGGGUAGUC